rnacentral:rRNA from 1 species
UACGUAGGGUGCAAGCGUUAAUCGGAAUUACUGGGCGUAAAGCGUGCGCAGGCGGUUUUUGUAAGUCUGUCGUGAAAUCCCCGGGCUCAACCUGGGAAUUGCGAUGGAGACUGCAAGGCUAGAAUCUGGCAGAGGGGGGUAGAAUUCCACGUGUAGCAGUGAAAUGCGUAGAGAUGUGGAGGAACACCGAUGGCGAAGGCAGCCCCCUGGGUCAAGAUUGACGCUCAUGCACGAAAGCGUGGGGAGCAAACAGGAU